GCGCACGUAGUUCAAUUGGAUAGAAUAUCGGAUUUCGGCUCCGAGGGUUGAGGGUUCGAGUCCUUCCGUGCGCA
rnacentral:tRNA from 1 species